rnacentral:rRNA from 1 species
AGUGAACGCUGGCGGUAGGCCUAACACAUGCAAGUCGAACGGCAGCACAGUAAGAGCUUGCUCUUACGGGUGGCGAGUGGCGGACGGGUGAGGAAUACAUCGGAAUCUACUUUUUCGUGGGGGAUAACGUAGGGAAACUUACGCUAAUACCGCAUACGACCUACGGGUGAAAGCAGGGGAUCUUCGGACCUUGCGCGAUUGAAUGAGCCGAUGUCGGAUUAGCCAGUUGGCGGGGUAAAGACCCACCAAGGCGACGAUCCGUAGCUGGUCUGAGAGGAUGAUCAGCCACACUGGAACUGAGACACGGUCCAGACUCCUACGGGAGGCAGCAGUGGGGAAUAUUGGACAAUGGGCGCAAGCCUGAUCCAGCCAUACCGCGUGGGUGAAGAAGGCCUUCGGGUUGUAAAGCCCUUUUGUUGGGAAAGAAAAGCAGCAGGUUAAUACCCCGCUGUUCUGACGGUACCCAAAGAAUAAGCACCGGCUAACUUCGUG